rnacentral:lncRNA from 1 species
UUCAAGUGAUUCUUCUGCUUCAGCCUCCCAAGUAGCUGGGACUACAAGUGUGUGCCACCAUGCCUGGCUAAUUUUUUUUACUUUUUUAUUUUUAGUAGAUACAGGAUUUCACCAUAUUGGCCAAGCUGGUCUCGAACUCCUGACCUUGUGAUCUGCCAGCCUCCGCCUCCCAAAGUGCUGGGAUUACAGGUGUGAGCCACCGCACCGGUUUACCAAGGCGGAGAAGUUCAUCUUCAAGAAAACUAAGAGAUCUCUUCCCCUGACAAAAAACAACUCCACGUUUGUUGGGACUCAGACCUGGGCUCUUCUGUCAGCUCUAGGUAGGGAGGUAUUGGAGAGCAAGUUUAGGAGUCACCCUACCAAGUGGGUAUGAUGAUGAAGGUGAGCUGCUAAGAAAGAGGUUGAGAGACAGCUGAUGUUUGUUUCAAGCCAAUCUUCUUCAACCCCAGGCACCAGGAGCAGAGGGCCAGUGGGUAAAGAUUAAGUAGGAUGGAAUCUGUAAUAAAGCCAAAUGUGUGGGUUGUAUUGCUGAUCUUGUCAUUAUUUUGGAUUUUUGGAGUGGAGAUGAGAUGAAAAUGUUUGCUUUGUAUCUACCCGCCCAGGGUGUAAGUAAGAGG